GUACUCUGGUUUCUCUUCAGAUUGUAUAAAUCUUUCGCCUUUUACUGAAGAUUUCCGUGGAGAGAAACAAUUCUGAGUCUUCAGAAAUGUUUUGAGGCCUCGGUUUACCAAGGC